rnacentral:rRNA from 1 species
CCUACGGGAGGCAGCAGUGAGGAAUAUUGGUCAAUGGCCGUGAGGCUGAACCAGCCAAGUCGCGUGAGGGAUGAAUGUCCUAUGGAUUGUAAACCUCUUUUGUCAGGGAGUAAAGUCACCCACGUGUGGGUGUUGGAGAGUACCUGAUGAAUAAGCAUCGGCUAACUCCGUGCCAGCAGCCGCGGUAAUACGGAGGAUGCGAGCGUUAUCCGGUUUUAUUGGGUUUAAAGGGUGCGUAGGCGGCGUAUUAAGUCAGCGGUAAAAUCGUGGGGCUCAACUCCAUCUAGCCGUUGAAACUGGGGAUCUUGAGUGGGCGUGAGGCAUGCGGAAUGCGUGGUGUAGCGGUGAAAUGCAUAGAUAUCACGCAGAACUCCGAUUGCGAAGGCAGCAUGCCGACGCACGACUGACGCUGAAGCACGAAAGCGUGGGUAUCAAACAGGAUUAGAUACCCUUGUAGUC